GCCGAACAAGUAAUAGCCUCCUCUUCCGCUCCCUUGGCGGGGCGCUCUAGCCCUCCGACCUCGCGGCCCGGCCGCCGAGCUGGCGCCUGCGCGUUGCUGCCGAGUCGUCUCCCGCCCGGUCUCUCCCUCUCUCUCUUCCCCGCCCCCCCCCUCUUCUUCUGCUUAGCUGAAGCGGCGGCGGGUCGCANCCCCCCCUCUUCUUCUGCUUAGCUGAAGCGGCGGCGGGUCGCAGGUUGAGGCGAGGCGGGCGCGGGCCUCCGCCAGCUAUGGACCUGGAGGCGUCCGACGAGACGGGCUCCACUGGAGGAGCCGAGGCGGGAGCCGGAGCCGUCACCCCCGAAGCGGGCGGUUGGGGUUCGCCGCCGGACUCGGCUGCAGGAGGAGGGCUGGCUUUGAAGAAGGCAGUUCUAACAGAGCCACCAUCGCUGACAGGGCAGCCGGGAGCCAGCCAGGGGAAAAAGAUAGGCCACCGAGGAGUUGAUGCAUCAGGGGAAACGACGUAUAAGAAGACCACAUCAACCACGCUGAAGGGGGCAAUCCAGCUGGGGAUUGGCUACACUGUGGGAAACCUGAGCUCUAAACCUGAGAGGGAUGUUUUGAUGCAAGAUUUCUAUGUGGUGGAGAGCAUUUUCUUUCCCAGUGAAGGCAGUAAUCUAACUCCGGCGCACCAUUAUCCCGACUUCAGAUUCAAAACAUACGCGCCCGUCGCUUUCCGCUAUUUUCGAGAACUUUUUGGCAUUCGUCCAGAUGAUUAUUUGUAUUCCUUGUGCAACGAGCCACUGAUCGAGCUCUCCAAUCCUGGGGCCAGCGGCUCCCUCUUCUAUGUCACUAGCGACGAUGAAUUCAUCAUCAAGACUGUGAUGCACAAAGAGGCAGAAUUCCUCCAGAAACUUCUUCCGGGUUAUUAUAUGAACCUGAACCAGAAUCCACGGACGUUGCUGCCAAAGUUCUACGGUCUCUACUGCGUCCAGUCUGGGGGCAAAAACAUCCGUGUGGUGGUGAUGAAUAACAUCCUGCCCCGGGUGGUAAAGAUGCACCUGAAAUACGAUCUCAAAGGCUCCACCUACAAACGUCGGGCGUCUAAGAAAGAGAAGGAUAAGUCAAGCCCCACCUACAAAGAUUUGGACUUCAUGCAGGAUAUGCCCGAGGGCAUCAUGCUAGAUGCAGAUACGUUCAACGCUCUGGUGAAGACAUUGCAGAGGGACUGUUUGGUGCUGGAGAGUUUCAAAAUAAUGGAUUACAGCCUGCUCCUUGGGGUGCACAACAUAGACCAGCUGGAACGGGAACGACAGGUUGACGGUGCCCAAAGCCUGUCUGAUGAAAAACGCCCCGUGGGACAGAAGGCUCUGUAUUCCACCGCCAUGGAGUCGAUCCAGGGUGGAGCUGCUCGAGGGGAACCCAUUGACACGGAUGACACGUAAGGAAUAUAGGCAGUUUUGAGUUCAGGUAGUCCUCAAAAACUGUUCAUUUAGUGACCAUUCGAAGUU
rnacentral:lncRNA from 1 species